CCUACGGGAGGCAGCAGUGGGGAAUUUUGGACAAUGGGCGCAAGCCUGAUCCAGCAAUGCCGCGUGCAGGAUGAAGGCCUUCGGGUUGUAAACUGCUUUUGUACGGAACGAAACGGUCUGCUUUAAUACAGUGGGCUAAUGACGGUACCGUAAGAAUAAGCACCGGCUAACUACGUGCCAGCAGCCGCGGUAAUACGUAGGGUGCGAGCGUUAAUCGGAAUUACUGGGCGUAAAGCGUGCGCAGGCGGUUAUAUAAGACAGAUGUGAAAUCCCCGGGCUCAACCUGGGACCUGCAUUUGUGACUGUGUAGCUAGAGUACGGUAGAGGGGGAUGGAAUUCCGCGUGUAGCAGUGAAAUGCGUAGAUAUGCGGAGGAACACCGAUGGCGAAGGCAAUCCCCUGGACCUGUACUGACGCUCAUGCACGAAAGCGUGGGGAGCAAACAGGAUUAGAUACCCUGGUAGUCCACGCCCUAAACGAUGUCAACUGGUUGUUGGGUCUUCACUGACUCAGUAACGAGCUAACGCGUGAAGUUGACCGCCUGGGGAAGUCGGCCGCAGUUGAAACUUNAAGGAUUGACGGCNGAGAGUUGCGAGGACGACGACGAGGGAGAGG
rnacentral:rRNA from 1 species